CACGUAGUUAGCCGUGGCUUUCUGGUUAGGUACCGUCAAGGUACCGGCAGUUACUCCGAUACUUGUUCUUCCCUAACAACAGAGCUUUACGACCCGAAGGCCUUCAUCGCUCACGCGGCGUUGCUCCGUCAGACUUUCGUCCAUUGCGGAAGAUUCCCUA
rnacentral:rRNA from 1 species